rnacentral:rRNA from 1 species
UACGUGGGGGGCAAGCGUUGUUCGGAAUUACUGGGCGUAAAGGGCUCGUAGGCGGCCAACUAAGUCAGACGUGAAAUCCCUCGGCUUAACCGGGGAACUGCAUCUGAUACUGGAUGGCUUGAGUUCGGGAGAGGGAUGCGGAAUUCCAGGUGUAGCGGUGAAAUGCGUAGAUAUCUGGAGGAACACCGGUGGCGAAGGCGGCAUCCUGGACCGGCACUGACGCUGAGGAGCGAAAGCCAGGGGAGCAAACGGG